AUUGUUGUUAGAUGAUAAAACAUGAUUAGUACUUUAUGCGUGACUUAUCUUUUUAACUUUUUUCAUAAUUUUUUCAAAUAAGACGGACGGUCAAACGUUGGACACGGAAAUCAGGGUUUGUCUUUUU
rnacentral:pre_miRNA from 1 species